rnacentral:rRNA from 1 species
UACAGAGGUCCCAAGCGUUGUUCGGAUUUACUGGGCGUAAAGGGUGCGUAGGUGGCGGGGUAAGUCUGGUGUGAAAGCUCCGAGCUCAACUCGGAAAAGCAUUGGAAACUAUCCCGCUGGAGGGUCGGAGGGGAGACUGGAAUUCUCGGUGUAGCAGUGAAAUGCGUAGAUAUCGAGAGGAACACCAGUGGCGAAGGCGAGUCUCUGGACGACUCCUGACACUGAGGCACGAAAGCUAGGGGAGCAAACGGG